rnacentral:rRNA from 1 species
GACGAACGCUGGCGGCGUGCUUAACACAUGCAAGUCGAACGGAAAGGCCCUGCUUUUGUGGGGUGCUCGAGUGGCGAACGGGUGAGUAACACGUGAGUAACCUGCCCUUGACUUUGGGAUAACUUCAGGAAACUGGGGCUAAUACCGGAUAGGAGCUCCUGCUGCAUGGUGGGGGUUGGAAAGUUUCGGCGGUUUGGGAUGGACUCGCGGCUUAUCAGCUUGUUGGUGGGGUAGUGGCUUACCAAGGCUUUGACGGGUAGCCGGCCUGAGAGGGUGGCCGGCCACAUUGGGACUGCGAUACGGCCCAGACUCCUACGGGAGGCAGCAGUGGAGAAUAUUGCACAAUGGGCGGAAGCCUGAUGCAGCAGCGCCGCGUGCGGGAUGACGGCCUUCGGGUUGUAAACCGCUUUCGCCUGUGACGAAGCGUGAGUGACGGUAAUGGGUAAAGAAGCACCGGCUAACUACGUG